UUUUUUACAAAAAUGGAAAUAGUCUGCUUAAUUUUCAGCAUAUUUACAAAACAAUAACAGAACACGAUCACUCAAAAUUCACGGAGUAACUUAAGAACAGAUUAUAACUGUUAAACAGUCGCAUUUCACAAAUUAUUUUUGUAUUGUAUUGAAUACUUAUUAACUUGGAAUUAUCAAAAUAAAAAUACCAUUAUUAGAUUUUAUUGGCUGGCAAUAUUACAGUAUAAUCUUAACUAUACGAUUGUCGAGUGUUGACUAUAGCUAAAAUAGUUGUGUAAAUGAGUAAAUUCAACAAAAUGGCAAUAAAAUUGGAAAAAUUGGAAAACAUUGUAUUUAAAACUUCUAGAUUUGUAUUC